rnacentral:rRNA from 1 species
UACGUAGGGGGCAAGCGUUGUCCGGAUUUAUUGGGCGUAAAGAGCGUGUAGGCGGCCAGACAGGUCUGCUGUGAAAACUCGAGGCUCAACCUCGAGACGCCGGUGGAAACCGUUUGGCUAGAGUCCGGAAGAGGAGAGUGGAAUUCCUGGUGUAGCGGUGAAAUGCGCAGAUAUCAGGAAGAACACCCGUGGCUAAGGCGGCUCUCUAGUACGGUACUGACGCUGAGACGCGAAAGCGUGGGGGGCGAACAGG